rnacentral:rRNA from 1 species
UACAGAGGGUGCAAGCGUUGUUCGGAAUUAUUGGGCGUAAAGAGCUCGUAGGCGGUUUGUCGCGUCGACUGUGAAAACCCGAGGCUUAACCUCGGGCCUGCAGUCGAUACGGGCAGACUAGAGUUCGGUAGGGGAGACUGGAAUUCCUGGUGUAGCGGUGAAAUGCGCAGAUAUCAGGAGGAACACCGGUGGCGAAGGCGGGUCUCUGGGCCGAUACUGACGCUGAGGAGCGAAAGCGUGGGGAGCGAACAGG